GGUUAAGCGACUAAGCGUACACGGUGGAUGCCCUGGCAGUCAGAGGCGAUGAAGGACGUGCUAAUCUGCGAAAAGCGCCGGCGAGGUGAUAUGAACCUUUGACCCGGCGAUGUCCGAAUGGGGAAACCCAGUGUGAUUCGUCACACUAUCGUUAACUGAAUACAUAGGUUAACGAGGCGAACCGGGGGAACUGAAACAUCUAAGUACCCCGAGGAAAAGAAAUCAACCGAGAUUCCCCCAGUAGCGGCGAGCGAACGGGGAGCAGCCCAGAGUCUGAAUCAGCUUGUGUGUUAGUGGAAGCGUCUGGAAAGUCGCACGGUACAGGGUGACAGUCCCGUACACGAAAAUGCACAGGUUGUGAACUCGAAGAGUAGGGCGGGACACGUGGUAUCCUGUCUGAAUAUGGGGGGACCAUCCUCCAAGGCUAAAUACUCCUGACUGACCGAUAGUGAACCAGUACCGUGAGGGAAAGGCGAAAAGAACCCCGGCGAGGGGAGUGAAAAAGAACCUGAAACCGUGUACGUACAAGCAGUGGGAGCACCUUCGUGGUGUGACUGCGUACCUUUUGUAUAAUGGGUCAGCGACUUAUAUUCUGUAGCAAGGUUAACCGUAUAGGGGAGCCGAAGGGAAACCGAGUCUUAACUGGGCGUUAAGUUGCAGGGUAUAGACCCGAAACCCGGUGAUCUAGCCAUGGGCAGGUUGAAGGUUGGGUAACACUAACUGGAGGACCGAACCGACUAAUGUUGAAAAAUUAGCGGAUGACUUGUGGCUGGGGGUGAAAGGCCAAUCAAACCGGGAGAUAGCUGGUUCUCCCCGAAAGCUAUUUAGGUAGCGCCUCGUGAACUCAUCUUCGGGGGUAGAGCACUGUUUCGGCUAGGGGGCCAUCCCGGCUUACCAACCCGAUGCAAACUACGAAUACCGAAGAAUGUUAUCACGGGAGACACACGGCGGGUGCUAACGUCCGUCGUGAAGAGGGAAACAACCCAGACCGCCAGCUAAGGUCCCAAAGUCAUGGUUAAGUGGGAAACGAUGUGGGAAGGCACAGACAGCCAGGAUGUUGGCUUAGAAGCAGCCAUCAUUUAAAGAAAGCGUAAUAGCUCACUGGUCGAGUCGGCCUGCGCGGAAGAUGUAACGGGGCUAAACCAUGCACCGAAGCUGCGGCAGCGACACUAUGUGUUGUUGGGUAGGGGAGCGUUCUGUAAGCCGUUGAAGGUGUGCUGUGAGGCAUGCUGGAGGUAUCAGAAGUGCGAAUGCUGACAUAAGUAACGAUAAAGCGGGUGAAAAGCCCGCUCGCCGGAAGACCAAGGGUUCCUGUCCAACGUUAAUCGGGGCAGGGUGAGUCGACCCCUAAGGCGAGGCCGAAAGGCGUAGUCGAUGGGAAACAGGUUAAUAUUCCUGUACUUGGUGUUACUGCGAAGGGGGGACGGAGAAGGCUAUGUUAGCCGGGCGACGGUUGUCCCGGUUUAAGCAUGUAGGCGGAACGAUUAGGUAAAUCCGGUCGUUUUUUAACGCUGAGGUGUGAUGACGAGGCACUACGGUGCUGAAGUAACAAAUGCCCUGCUUCCAGGAAAAGCCUCUAAGCAUCAGGUAACAUCAAAUCGUACCCCAAACCGACACAGGUGGUCAGGUAGAGAAUACCAAGGCGCUUGAGAGAACUCGGGUGAAGGAACUAGGCAAAAUGGUGCCGUAACUUCGGGAGAAGGCACGCUGAUAUGUAGGUGAAGCCCCUGCGGGUGGAGCUGAAAUCAGUCGAAGAUACCAGCUGGCUGCAACUGUUUAUUAAAAACACAGCACUGUGCAAACACGAAAGUGGACGUAUACGGUGUGACGCCUGCCCGGUGCCGGAAGGUUAAUUGAUGGGGUUAGCGGCAACGCGAAGCUCUUGAUCGAAGCCCCGGUAAACGGCGGCCGUAACUAUAACGGUCCUAAGGUAGCGAAAUUCCUUGUCGGGUAAGUUCCGACCUGCACGAAUGGCGUAAUGAUGGCCAGGCUGUCUCCACCCGAGACUCAGUGAAAUUGAACUCGCUGUGAAGAUGCAGUGUACCCGCGGCAAGACGGAAAGACCCCGUGAACCUUUACUAUAGCUUGACACUGAACACUGGUCCUUGAUGUGUAGGAUAGGUGGGAGGCUUUGAAGUGUGGACGCCAGUCUGCAUGGAGCCGUCCUUGAAAUACCACCCUUUAAUGGCUGGUGUUCUAACGUAGACCCGUGAUCCGGGUUGCGGACAGUGUCUGGUGGGUAGUUUGACUGGGGCGGUCUCCUCCCAAAGAGUAACGGAGGAGCACGAAGGUUAGCUAAUCCUGGUCGGACAUCAGGAGGUUAGUGCAAUGGCAUAAGCUAGCUUGACUGCGAGAGUGACGGCUCGAGCAGGUGCGAAAGCAGGUCAUAGUGAUCCGGUGGUUCUGAAUGGAAGGGCCAUCGCUCAACGGAUAAAAGGUACUCCGGGGAUAACAGGCUGAUACCGCCCAAGAGUUCAUAUCGACGGCGGUGUUUGGCACCUCGAUGUCGGCUCAUCACAUCCUGGGGCUGAAGUAGGUCCCAAGGGUAUGGCUGUUCGCCAUUUAAAGUGGUACGCGAGCUGGGUUUAGAACGUCGUGAGACAGUUCGGUCCCUAUCUGCCGUGGGCGCUGGAGAAUUGAGGGGGGCUGCUCCUAGUACGAGAGGACCGGAGUGGACGCAUCACUGGUGUUCGGGUUGUCAUGCCAAUGGCACUGCCCGGUAGCUAAAUGCGGAAAAGAUAAGUGCUGAAAGCAUCUAAGCACGAAACUUGCCCCGAGAUGAGUUCUCCCUGAGACUUUAAGUCUCCUGAAGGAACGUUGAAGACGACGACGUUGAUAGGUCGGGUGUGUAAGCGCAGCGAUGCGUUGAGCUAACCGAUACUAAUGAACCGUGAGGCUUAACCUU
rnacentral:rRNA from 1 species